AUGCAGCCCCGAGUGCAAGAGACAACUGCCACAAUCCAUGGAAAUGUUCAUAGGAAGAGAGAGGUGUUAGCUUUGGCCAAAUUGAAAGCAGCAGCCGAGAGAAGGGACGUAGCGGAUCAAGCCAAAUUUGAUGCAGCCAUGGCAAAGCUUAAAGAAGAAGAGAACAAACUAAUGCUAGCAGCUGAGCAGAGAAAACAAGAGCUGCAAGAAAAGAGGAAAGUUGCUGAAGAGAAAAAAAAAGCAAUGUUGGAGCAGAAAAAAUUAGAAGCUGAGGCAAGAAAAAGAGUUGCUGAAGAAAAAAAAAGAAAGCUCAAGAGGAGAAAUUUGCACUUGCAGAGGCAAAAAGGUUAG
rnacentral:rRNA from 1 species